rnacentral:rRNA from 1 species
UGGGGAAUUUUGGACAAUGGGCGAAAGCCUGAUCCAGCAAUGCCGCGUGUGUGAAGAAGGCCUUCGGGUUGUAAAGCACUUUUGUCCGGAAAGAAAUGGCUCUGGUUAAUACCUGGGGUCGAUGACGGUACCGGAAGAAUAAGGACCGGCUAACUACGUGCCAGCAGCCGCGGUAAUACGUAGGGUCCAAGCGUUAAUCGGAAUUACUGGGCGUAAAGCGUGCGCAGGCGGUUGUGCAAGACCGAUGUGAAAUCCCCGAGCUUAACUUGGGAAUUGCAUUGGUGACUGCACGGCUAGAGUGUGUCAGAGGGGGGUAGAAUUCCACGUGUAGCAGUGAAAUGCGUAGAGAUGUGGAGGAAUACCGAUGGCGAAGGCAGCCACCUGGGAUAACACUGACGCUCAUGCACGAAAGCGUGGGGAGCAAACAGG